rnacentral:rRNA from 1 species
CCCUUAGAUGCUCUGGGCCGCACGCGCGCUACACUGGUCGAUGCAACGAGUUUCUUUCCUUGGCCGACAGGCCUGGGCAAUCUUUGAACAUCGAUCGUGAUCGGGAUAGAUUCUUGUAAUUUUUGAUCUUAAACGAGGAAUUCCUAGUAAACGCAAGUCAUCAGCUUGCAUUGAUUACGUCCCUGCCCUUUGUACACACCGCCCGUCGCUCCUACCGAUUGAAUGCUCAGGUGAGCCAUUCGGACCUUCAUCAUGCCGGUUUCCGGUUUUGAUGAGGGAAAGUCUUGCGAACCUUAUCAUUUAGAGGAAGGAGAAGUCGUAACA